UACGUAGGUGGCAAGCGUUAUCCGGAAUUAUUGGGCGUAAAGCGCUCGCAGGCGGUUUCUUAAGUCUGAUGUGAAAGCCCACGGCUCAACCGUGGAGGGUCAUUGGAAACUGGGAGACUUGAGUGCAGAAGAGGAGAGUGGAAUUCCACGUGUAGCGGUGAAAUGCGUAGAGAUGUGGAGGAACACCAGUGGCGAAGGCGACUCUCUGGUCUGUAACUGACGCUGAGGAGCGAAAGCGUGGGGAGCAACAGG
rnacentral:rRNA from 1 species